CACAGAGUCACACCGCAGAGGUUGGACAGACUAUAGAAAUAUAAACACAGAUCUCUCAUAAAUCGUCCGCCAUAUUAGAAGGAUCAAAACCCAUCCGUAAACACACAAAAUCAGUCUUUGUCUGUGAACACGUUCUCUCAAAGGAAAGAUGUGUAAGUGGCCAUUGCCGAUCCCACUUUUAGAGACCUGCAUGGUUCUCCAAUGAGACCACAUCAAAAUGAACUUCAGAAGUUAUGACAACAUCACAGGUUAGUCCAUCGUUGCCUGCAAGUCCGUGAUCAUCCAGGACCAGGUGUUUGUCAUUGUUGCCCAGCUCUUUGGUGGUUCUCACAUCUAUAAGUUUGUUGAGGACCAAAGUUCUCCAAAUUCCAGGACAUUGAAGUUUCUAAAAUUUCCAAGCCGAACAGGUGCAGGUGGUAAAUUCAUUUUUGUAUAGAGAGUUUUGUUUAAUUCUAUGAAUGUAAAUAACUUUUACUGGAAUACAACACAACCCUAAACAAUGAGUGGAGCCUGCAAAAGCAUGAGAUUCAGCUCUUUAUCUCCCAUAACUUUUAAAUAAAACAAAAGGUUACUUAUUCAUUUCAGUUUUAGCAUAAUACUAAUUAUUUUAAUUAUGUAAAUCAUUGUACUAUUUUUAUUAUUUGUUGAAUAU